AGCGGCGGACGGGUGAGUAAUGCUUGGGAAUCUGCCCAAUAGUGGGGGAUAACGUGUGGAAACGCACGCUAAUACCGCAUACGUCCUACGGGAGAAAGCAGGGGAUCUUCGGACCUUGCGCUAUUGGAUGAGCCCAAGUCAGAUUAGCUAGUUGGUGGGGUAAUGGCUCACCAAGGCGACGAUCUGUAGCUGGUCUGAGAGGAUGAUCAGCCACACUGGGACUGAGACACGGCCCAGACUCCUACGGGAGGCAGCAGUGGGGAAUAUUGCACAAUGGGCGAAAGCCUGAUGCAGCCAUGCCGCGUGUGUGAAGAAGGCUCUAGGGUUGUAAAGCACUUUCAGUGGGGAGGAAAAGCUCAAAAUUAAUACUUUUGAGCCUUGACGUUACCUGCAGAAGAAGCACCGGCAAACUCCGUGCCAGCAGCCGCGGUAAUACGGAGGGUGCGAGCGUUAAUCGGAAUUACUGGGCGUAAAGCGCGCGUAGGUGGUUUGAUAAGCUAGCUGUGAAAGCCCUGGGCUCAACCUGGGAACUGCAGUUAGAACUGUCUGGCUAGAGUAUAGUAGAGGGUGGCGGAAUUUCCUGUGUAGCGGUGAAAUGCGUAGAUAUAGGAAGGAACAUCAGGGGCGAAGGCGGCCACCUGGACUAUUACUGACACUGAGUGCGAAGCGUGGGGAGCAAACAGGAUUAGAUACCCUGAGAGUUCAA
rnacentral:rRNA from 1 species